rnacentral:rRNA from 1 species
AUUGAACGCUGGCGGCAUGCCUUACACAUGCAAGUCGAACGGUAACAGGUUAAGCUGACGAGUGGCGAACGGGUGAGUAAUAUAUCGGAACGUGCCCAGUAGUGGGGGAUAGCCCGGCGAAAGCCGGAUUAAUACCGCAUACGACCUACGGGUGAAAGGGGGGGAUCGCAAGACCUCUCGCUAUUGGAGCGGCCGAUAUCAGAUUAGCUAGUUGGUGGGGUAAAAGCUCACCAAGGCGACGAUCUGUAGCUGGUCUGAGAGGACGACCAGCCACACUGGGACUGAGACACGGCCCAGACUCCUACGGGAGGCAGCAGUGGGGAAUUUUGGACAAUGGACGCAAGUCUGAUCCAGCCAUGCCGCGUGCAGGAAGAAGGCCUUCGGU